CUUUGUUGAGAUAUUCUCCGAGCGCCCAAAUGGGGAAGAUAUUUCUGUACGCCGAGUAGCUGAUCGUGCAGUUCUUAUUGAACACGCCGACGAUUUCCUGCAAAGAUGAACCAAAUUCACUCAAAUCGAGAUAUAUUUUGGAUUUGUUGUAUUACCAUGAACCAUCGAAGAGUUGAAUGCUUUCGACAAAUUUGAGAGCGUUCUUGAUGCACACUGAAAUAUCCUUCGCUCGAUAUCCGGGAUGCAUCUUGUUGAAUAGCCUCAAGCCUUGAAUGGCUGCGGAUGUGCACUCAACAUAUUGGUAGUCGAUCAUUAUGUCCCCGAAGAUCUCCGCAGGAUUGAUCAUCUGUCGAUGGAUUUAUUCAAUCAUAGAGAUUUUUAUUUUUAUUUUCCCGGUAAUACUAAUACAUGGCUUCGUUUUUGUUUCGUGUGGUUUACCUCCAACCAGGCGUAGGAUCUUGUGAGCUCGUACGAUGCAAAUCCUCCGCUGCUAUUCUGCGACAGAUAAAAAUGACGAUGUCCCGUUGAGGCUUUCGUGGAAAUUAAUGUAACAUUCGAUUGCUACCUGAAACGAAAGAAGCAAGUCGACUGCGUCGUGUAGCUUAUCUAGUGCUAUUGCUUCUCCGGAAAUCUCCGACGGCAACUGCGACAGAAGAAGCGCUGUCUGCACAUUUUCGAUUAGAAGCGCGAUAAGUAAAUUAUACGGUUUGAUUUGUGUGCUAUUGCAAAAGGAUCGAACCUUGAGGCCUUCUGAUGUGCAAUCGGAGACCGGCCAGCCGUUGUCUGUAGUCGAAAAGGGCCAUCCGCCUUUCGAUCGUUGGCGAUACCAAGAGCUUGGAUUCCCGGAACUAUCUUCUCUAAUCUUUAUAGUCGAAACAUGCUAUGUUAGUCGUAUGAACCAGGGGUGUGCAUCGAAAACGAAACUGGUAAUUCGGGUAUUUGAAUUCUAUUUUUUUCGGAAAGUUUUUAAAAAUAUUUUCGACCAAAUUCAA